rnacentral:lncRNA from 1 species
UUAGGAGUAUAUCUUUAAUAUCUCAAAUCAGUUGCUCCUGUGUAAAGGUAUGUGUCAUCAGUUGCUCCUCUGCAAGGUAUGUGUCAACCUUCGUUGUUCCUGAUGAUAGAGUUGGAUGUAAUCCCUCACACCCCUUGUUCUUAUCUAACUCUCUUCAUGUUCCACAAGAAUCGAUAGAUCUUCAAUCCGACACGAGUAUAAAGCUUUCAUUUCUUCAAAAGAAAGCAUUAAACGAAAUCCAGAAAUUCAUACAUUCCGGAUUCGUUCUUCUUUUGAACGGAUAAUGGAUGUUGGUGAUGAAUGAACGGUGGAUGAAAUGCAACAUGGUUUAUUGAUUGGUGUAGAUUUGUGAUGAAGAUUUGGUGUUGUUGAGUUUAUAACUGUUGUUGCAUUUUUUACUAGGCUAAACCUUAUUCCCUUUUUAUAGGUACC